rnacentral:tRNA from 1 species
GUGGAUAUAGCGUAGUUGGUUAACGCGUCAGUUUGUGGCACUGAAGAUCAUGAGUUCGAAUCUCAUUAUCCACCCCA